rnacentral:rRNA from 1 species
AGUAGUUUGAUCCGUGGCUCAGGACGAACGCUGGCGGCGUGCCUAACACAUGCAAGUCGAACGAGAAAUUCAUUUGUGAUCCCUUCGGGGUGAACUGUUGAAUGGAAAGUGGCGGACGGGCGAGUAACGCGUGAGUAACCUGCCCAUAAGAGGGGGAUAAUCCUUGGAAACGAGGACUAAUACCGCAUAUUGAAUAGCUUUCGCAUGUUAGCUAUUUGAAAGCUUUAGCGCUUAUGGAUGGACUCGCGUCAGAUUAGCUGGUUGGUGGGGUAACGGCCUACCAAGGCGACGAUCGGUAGCCGGUCUGAGAGGAUGAACGGCCACAUUGGGACUGAGACACGGCCCAGACUCC